UUUCCGUAGGUGAACCUGCGGAAGGAUCAUUAAAGAGUAAGGGUCUUCGGGCCCGAUCUCCAACCCUUUGUUUAACUACCAUGUUGCUUUGGCGGGCCCGUCUCACGACCGCCGGAAGUUUGGCUUCGACCAAACUUCUGGCCCGUGCCCGUCAGUGGCCCCUUCAAAUUCUUGAUCAAGUAUGACGUCUUAGUUAAAAACUUAAUAGUUAAAACUUACAACAACGGAUCUCUUGGUUCUG
rnacentral:misc_RNA from 1 species